rfam:Mycosphaerella eumusae strain CBS 114824 scaffold866, whole genome shotgun sequence.
UAAGUAAUAUAACUAUUACUUAUAAUACUUAUAAUAUUACUAUGUUAUAAGUAAAAUAAAUAUUACUUAUAAUACUUAUAACAUUACAUAGUAAUGUUAUAAGUAAAAUAUAUAUUGCUUAUUUACUCUUUUUUUUUUACGACUUAUCUUAAAUUCGACUACUUAACGACCAAAGUUUUUUUUUAUAAAAAAUGAUAAUUACAUCGUUGCAGGUACAGAAUUGUGAUCUCAGGCAAAUUUUGAUUUAAAGCAUUGUUUAAUAAACAUGCAAAAUCUGUUUGUAUACAUUGGGGGAUCGUGAAGAUUUUAUCAGCGAGGAUUUGCUCUCGGAAGGGCAACGAUGAAUGUUAAACUGUCGGACAUAGUACGAUAAGGUUGUAUGUCUAAAGGGAAACAGCCCAGAACAAGAGUUAAAGGUUCCAAAAUUAUUGUUAAGUGAAAUUAAGGUAGUUUUUUUCAAAUACAACGAGUAAAUAGGCUUAGAAGCGGCCAUUUUUUAAAGAUCUCGUAACAGAGCACUGGUUUAUUAUAAAAGUUAAACGCACCGAAAAUAUAACGGAUCUGAAACAGUAUACCGAAACCUUGUACAUAAUUAAAACUAAGGUAAUGAGUUAUUUUAAUUCUUUUUUUUUUAAGAAAAAAAAAUUUGCAAAAUAAAGUAAUGUUUAUAUAACUAUACUCCUCCUUUUUAAUAAUAAUUAUUUAUUAUAAACUUUAUAAAGAAAGUAAAUUAAAAAGGCAAAAGAUUAAUAGUUAUAUAAAUAGACAUAGUAUAUAACUAUGCUGUUACUUUUUAGUAAGACUUAUUUAUUAUAAACUUUAUAAAGUAAAUUAAAAAGGCAAAUCAUUAAUAGCUAUAUAAAUAGACAUAGUAUAUAACUAUGCUGUUACUUUUUAGUAAGACUUAUUUAUUAUAAACUUUAUAAAGUAAAUUAAAAAGGCAAAUCAUUAAUAGCUAUAUAAAUAGACAUAGUAUAUAACUAUGCUGUUACUUUUUAGUAAGACUUAUUUAUUAUAAACUUUAUAAAGUAAAUUAAAAAGGCAAAUCAUUAAUAGCUAUAUAAAUAUAUAUUUAUAUAAUCAUUAAUAGUUAUAUUUAUGGGGUAGCGGAACGUUGGGUUAAUUCUUAUAAUUUAUAUCCUUGAUAUAAAUUAUCUUUAGGGUCAAUAAUAAAAUAAAUAAUGCUAUUUUUUUUUAAGCCAUAGAGACUAUCCCAAGUGAUAAUGCUGACAUGAGUAACGAAAAAGGGUAACCCCCUCGCCUUAAGCUUAUGGUAUUAACACCGUAAUUAAAGUAACGGCCCCUAAGUUUAUAAACCUUUCCUAAAGGAUUAAAUGAUGGGUGAAUCUCGCGUAUAUUUAACAUUUAUGAAUUAGUGUAGGAUUAUUAAUCUAAAGUGAUAAAUGUUCUGGAAAAAAUAUAUGCUGGUAUUUUUAUAUAUUGUAUUGACCGUACCUAGACACUACCACAAGUAAGCAAGUAGAGAAUACAAAGGCGUUUGAGAUAACAAUCAUUAAGGAACUCGGCAAAUUGACUCCGUAACUUCGGGAUAAGGUGUGCCAUUAUUAUUAAGUAAUAAGAGGAGACAUAAAAUGGUGUUGUACGACUGUUUAAUUAAAACAAAGCACUUUGCAUAAGAUAAUAAAUCAAAGUAUUGAGUGUGAUUUCUGCCCAAUGUUGGCUGGUUAACGAAUUUUCUUAGUCAAAUAACACUAGGCUAGGUUUUGAAGGAACCCCCAAUCAAUGGCGGCCUUACCGAUGAGGGUCCUAAGGUAGCGGAAUACCCUGGCCGUUAAAUGCGGUCUUGCAUGAAUGAUUUAACGAUACAACAGCUGUCUCAAUGAUUGUCUCAGUGAAAUUGGAAUAACUGUGCAGAUACAGUUUUCUUCUAGUUAGACGAGAAGACCCUAUGCAGCUUUACUGUUGCUAGUAAUUGAAUAUAAUAAAACAAGUUGUAGUAUAUAAGGUUAUUGAUAGGAUGAUAGUGAAAUACCUUUACUUAGUUUAUUAUAUUAUUGGAAUAGUGGAUAUAAGUUUUUAGUAUCGGACUAUUGUUUAUUACCGAAAGGGAGUAAACAGCUUUUUAUUAUAUUAUAUUAUAUUAUAUUAUAUUAUAUUAUAUUAUAUUAUAUUAUAUUAUAUUAUAUUAUAUUAGAAUUAAGGACUUCUUUGUAAUAGACAGUGUAGAGCUUAAGAUAAAGAGUUAAGUAAUCCUUUGGGAUGGACAGUGUAGAGCUUAAGAGAAAGAGAAAAAAACUUCAUAUUCAUUUAGUAUCCAUAUGCUUAUCUGAAAGGUUAAUAAUAAAGGUUUAUGUAAAAAAUAUCUCUUUUUUUUUAUAUUUUAUUUUUUAUAAAAUGAGACAUUUGCUAGUGGACAGUUUAUGCGGGGCACAGAUCCCAUAAAAAGUACCUGGGUGUAUCCAAAGUUAAAAUUGUAAAUUCAUUAAAAUUUAUUAAUGAUUUUGUCUUGUUAUUAUUGUGUUUAUAACUAUUAAAUAUAAGGCACUAUUUUUACUUUGUAAUAGAUUAUUUUAUGAUUUAUUCACUUAUAUUUCUAUUAAGUUAGAUUAAUUAUAUUUUAUUUUUUUAAGUAAGGUUUUAACUAUAUGGAAAAUAGAUGUUUAACUUGUCUUUUCUAUCAGUUAAUUUUUUUUUAUUAUAAAAAAAAAUUUUAAAGAUAAAAAAGAUGAUUUUUAAUAUUUACUGUUAAAGUUUAAUGGCUUAACCUUGCUUUACUGUUUGACUUACAUGUCUAUCAGUCGCGUAAGCGGGGCAUACGAUCACAAGAUGCAGAAAGGAAAGGUCUUGGAUUUUUGAAAAAAGCUACGCUAGGGAUAACAGGCUAAUUGCGCCAGAGAGUACAAAUUGAGUGCGCAGUUUGGCACCUCGAUGUCGGCUUAGCUCAUCCACAUGAAUGUAGGAAUCAUGAAGGGUACGACUGUUCGUCGGUUAAAGAGCUACACGAGCUGGGUUAAAUACGUCGUGAGACAGUAUGGUUUCUAUCUUCUAGAAGUAAUUAGAGUAAAACAAGGAUAGCCCCUUCGUACGAAAGGAGUUGGGUAUGGUAACCUCUGGUUUAUUUGUUGUUUAAUUUGAUACCUAUCGAAAGGAGUCGCUAACCGUUCCCGACAUUUUUUCGCUCUCGAUAUUUUUUUUUUUAAUAAAAUAUAUUUAUAUGGGGACCCCCAAAGAUAAGAAUAUUACAGCGUUAUUAAACAUUGACGGGGAUUGCAGAGGGCGUAGGAUGUACCAUUACUAAGGUAUAUGACCAAUAGGCACAGCAAUAAAGCUACGUUAGUCAUAAAUAAGCGCUGAAUGCAUAUAGGCACGAAGUUUGUCUUGAGAUACUCUUAAAUAUACGUAAUACAAUAUUACGAAUCGUAAACUUGCGAUUGUAUAGGUUUUGGUUUAAAGGAUUUUAAUUUCUUCAGAUACAAUAUACUAAUUUUAUUAAAUACUAAAUUU